UACGGAGGAUCCGAGCGUUAUCCGGAUUUAUUGGGUUUAAAGGGUGCGUAGGCGGUUUGAUAAGUUAGAGGUGAAAUGUCGGGGCUCAGCCCCGAAACUGCCUCUAAUACUGUUGGACUAGAGAAUAGUUGCGGUAGGCGGAAUGUAUGGUGUAGCGGUGAAAUGCUUAGAGAUCAUACAGAACACCGAUUGCGAAGGCAGCUUACCAAACUAUAUCUGACGUUGAGGCACGAAAGCGUGGGUAGCAAACAGG
rnacentral:rRNA from 1 species